UGUUAAAUAAAUGUAUAAGUUUUUUUUAUUUGAAAUUAAAUCUGCUGUUAGCUUUUUUCAACUGCCAGCAGCUUGCACUGAAAGCUAAGAGUAAAAAUCGAGUAGUUGGCUUCAACUUAUAAAAAAAUCAAUAAGCGCAAAAGUGUCGCCAAAAAAAUAAAAAAAAAACGUGCUCAGGCUGUGAAAUUUGAAAGGAAAUCUGGCAACAAAAAACAAGAAAAGAAAACGCACGAGGCGAGAAUAAGUCCAUAAGUUAUAUAACAUACGACAAUUGGCGUCUGUGUGUGUGUGUGGGUGGGUGUGUGAGUGUGUGUGUGUGUGUGGGUGAGUGUUUAUGUGUGUGUGUGUGUGGGAGGCUCAAUCGAUAGACAAGCCACGAUGAUGAUGAGGAACUGCUCCUAAUUGGAUUACAAGCGACGUGGCUUAGCAGAGAGACAAACGACAAGAAGUCUGAUAAAGAUUAGCAAUUAAAUAGCAAAAGAAGCUUUUACAGCCAGCUUUUACAACAACAGCAACAGCAUGGGCAAGAAGAAGGUGCUCGUUGAGGAUUUGGUUGUGCCGCCACAAGAUACACGCAUCUGUGGCACCAUCUGCAUAUGCCAGAUGACGCUGGUGCUCAGCUCCGUGGCAUUGGUCUAUCUAACUGUGGCCAUUUAUAUGCCAUCGACGCGUGCCUUUAAAAGUGGCAUUGAUCCCACGCCCGUCAUGUGCACCACAACCCGUGCCCUCAACAAGGACAACUGCGAGUGGGGCAGCUGUGGUGAGUGGUGCCUGAGCAAGACAUCCGGUGCGUGCAUCCAAAUCUACGUGAAUCUACGCAGCAAUGGCACCAAUCUCACCUUUCAGAAUUGCACGAAUUCGGCGAAUAAAACGUGCUACGGCAUCGAUCAGGAUCGGGCGGAUAAAGCCCGUUGCAUCAACGACGAGUGCAAGAAUCUAACGGGUACUUUCAACUGCACAGCCGGACAGUGUUUGAAUAUAACGGAUGCCUUCGAGUGCGUCUUCCACAACAGUGACGCGCCCGUCAAGUGUUCGGGGCGACGUGGCAAAAUCAAUUGCAUGGACAUCAGUGGACUGUUCUCGUGCAGUCGCGGCACAUGCCGCAAGAUAAGGACACCCUACAAUUGCGACAGACGCUGCGUGGAUAUACCAACCAGGAACAAGAAUGUGGUGGUGCUGAGCGGCGAUAAGGUGUAUCUCUCCCAGUGUCAGAAUGCCAUCAAUGCGGAAACGCUCGAGGAGGUGUGGAACGAAUCGAGCGAUAAUGUUGCCAUGACAUCCUGUUAUUAUAUUAAGAACACCUCGGAUCGGGUGGAUGCAGUGGACUGCAUUAAUGGUUCAACGCUGGAACAUAAUAUGCUCAGUGAUCUGACAAAUUUCACAUAUCUGAGUCAUUUGCAUGUGUCGGUGGCGACACCGGUGCCAGAGAUUGCACCACCCGAUGUCGACUUGACCAUUUCGAAUGAGUCGAAGCUGAUGAUUAACUUGGAGGGUUGCGUUAAUACCCUGAUGGAUGAGUGCAAGGAGUUCCUCAAGGACUUUGGACGUGAUGGCAGUGAUCAUAAUGCCCGGGCACGAUUCCCCUGCUUCUAUUCACCGUCCAAGAAGGAUGUGGUGGUGGCCCGCUUCGAUCUGGAGGUCACCUAUCGCCAGUUUGUGUUCGCGUCGGUGGUGCCGUCGGUGCUGUUCGUGGUCUCCUGUUCGGUGCUGUUGCUCUGCCAGCGCACCGUCUAUGUCGGCGACGAUGCCAAGAUGCGUUUCAAAGGAUGCGUCGACACGGCGACCAUUCUAUCCAAGAACAACGUCGGCACACCAACCAACGGCGACAUGGGCGCUGGCGGCGGUGGCGACGAGGUCAUGGCCCUAUGAGAUCCGUCACGGAAUUACACUGUGCUACAUACGUAUUUUCAACUAACGAUCAAAAUAACUUUCCUUGGGCAUUCCUCUGCUCCAGGAAGACAGUCCGGUGCAUCAGACUGGCGUCUUCGCUUUGCAGUAAUGGAGUUGGGCAUUGAAACCACUCGCAAACAACUCUUUGUAAUCCUUCCAUCGAACUUCUAAACAAGCGACCACACCACAACAACAAGACCACAACAACAACAAGAACAACAAACACCUGAGCGGCUUGCAAGGACACUCCUGAGCUAACAGCAAUCACAGAAAAAAACUAAAAACAAAAAAAAACUAAAAACGAAAUAAUAAUAAUUAUAAUAAUAAUAAUAAUACGUCAACACUAAAUGCGAGGCACGUGUAUAAGAAAUUCUCGAGAUACGAACCGAUCAGAAGACAAUAUUAGUAUAAUUUGUAUAUUUUUGGAAUAAGGCUAAGUGCGCUAGGCCACUUACUGAGUGUAAUUAGGAGUUUUAGGACGAGGAGUAUGGACUUGGGGGCGAUUAGCACAAAAGCGACAAAUUGAUUGAAUUACUUGACUUAAAGUUAAAAACGCCAUCAAUAGAGAAUAUAUAUAAUACUUGAAUGCACUCACACGAAGCACGCGCACAACAACACACACACACACAACACAUACACACACACACAAAUACACGCACAUCACACAGCAACAACAUGGGAAUUAGAAUCAGCCCUUAGGAACAGUAAUGGUCAAAACGGUUUGGGAGGGAUGCGUGAUCAAAAAUAACUAAGAAGAUACCAACAAAAAUAUAUAAAGUCUCGCAAGAAUUAGUUAACUCAAAACAAA